UCCAGACUCCUACGGGAGGCAGCAGUGGGGAAUAUUGGGCAAUGGGCGCAAGCCUGACCCAGCAACGCCGCGUGAAGGAAGAAGGCUUUCGGGUUGUAAACUUCUUUUCUCAGGGACGAAGAAAGUGGCGGUACCUGAGGAAUAAGCCACGGCUAACUACGUGCCAGCAGCCGCGGUAAUACGUAGGGGGCAAGCGGUAUCCGGAUUUACUGGGUGUAAAGGGAGCGUAGACGGCUAAUCAAGUCAGAAGUGAAAACCCAGGGCUCAACCUUGGGACUGCUUUUGAAACUGAGUAGCUAGAGUGCAGGAGAGGUAAGCGGAAUUCCUAGUGUAGCGGUGAAAUGCGUAGAUAUUAGGAGGAACACCAGUGGCGAAGGCGGCUUACUGGACUGUAACUGACGUUGAGGCUCGAAAGCGUGGGGAGCAAACAGGAUUAGAUACCCGAGUA
rnacentral:rRNA from 1 species